UUGUUAUUCUGGUCUUUAUGUUCAGGUCUGGCUGCCAAUAGACUAUGGAUCUGAUUUAAUGGAAAAUGGCUCAAGAGCCUGGGCCAGUUGCAGCUCUGUCCUCACUCCUAGCUAUCGCAGCUCUCUCUAGCCUGAAGAGUGCACACCCCAUACAAUAGUGUUGGAAAGAUGAAAGGAUGACUCUCAAUCGUUACGUUCCUGCAAGAUAAGACAGUCUUACAAGAAGGACUGGAAAUGCCAGCAUCUAUUUUUGGACAACAAUGAGAGUGUGUUCCCCUUUGCCAGUACCUCCACCACCAUAAUGAAGGUAGAGACUAGUUUCCUCUGUAGCUGGUAGUUCUGAGCACUUUAAAACUGAUGUCCAAACUGGAGUCAGCUCAUGUGUGCUUGCUGUGCUUCUGCAGUGUGUCUGCAACAACAUCAGCAAUUCCAAAUUGAGGUGGAGUGAGGAGACAGUUACCCAAACACAGAUCUUACUACCUCUUCCCCACGUGCUGUCACAAAGAAAAGAUAAGUGUUCAGUAGUGUGAUUAGAAUAUGGCUCUGACUCUUCCCAAAUUCAUUGGGAUUAAUCACA